GUGCCAGGUGCUGACCGCAGCACUCUGUCGUCCUCGGCGUCUGUGGGGUGUGCAAGGCUCUUCUUCUUCCUCAAGGAUGCUGCAGUCAGAGCUGGAGGUUUCGUUGUCUCCUGGAGGCCCAGGCGAUGAUGAAGAGAGGCAGAAACAGAAGCUUAAAGAGCUACUCACCUGAACCUGGCUGAGGAGGCUCUCGACACUAACAUCCCUCGGAGGAUCUUCAUACCAGAAUAUCUCCUGCUUGGCAGCCUCUCGGCCCAGCAGCUUACGCUUGCUGAUGGGGAUCUCGCUCAAGCGAAUGAACCACUGGACCACAGCGUGACCCCACUUUUGGGCAGUUUCCCCUCCCUCGCCUCUCAAGGACAGGCAACAAG